UACGGGGGGAGCAAGCGUUGUUCGGAUUUACUGGGCGUAAAGGGCGCGUAGGCGGCACUGCAAGUCAGUUGUGAAAUCUCCGGGCUUAACCCGGAAAGGUCAACUGAUACUGCAGGGCUAGAGUGCAGAAGGGGCAACUGGAAUUCUCGGUGUAGCGGUGAAAUGCGUAGAUAUCGGGAGGAAUACCUAUGGCGAAAGCAGGCUACUGGACCGUCACUGACUCUGAGGAGCGAAAGCCAGGGGAGCAAACGGG
rnacentral:rRNA from 1 species